rnacentral:rRNA from 1 species
AGAGUUUGAUCCUGGCUCAGAAUGAACGCUGGCGGCGUGCCUAACACAUGCAAGUCGGAUGUGCCCGCAAGGGUGCAUGGCAGACGGGUGAGUAACGCGUGGGGAACCUACCUUUUUGUGGGGGAUAACGCUCCGAAAGGAGCGGUAAUACCGCAUGAGACCAUGGGCUGGAAUGCCGAUGGUGAAAGCCGGGGAUCGAAAGACCUGGCGCAAGGAGAGGGUCCUGCGUCUGAUUAGCUAGUUGGCGGGGUAACGGCCCACCAAGGCGACGAUCAGUAGCCGGCCUGAGAGGGUGAUCGGCCACACUGGAACUGAGACACGGUCCAGACUCCUACGGGAGGCAGCAGUGGGGAAUUUUGCGCAAUGGGCGAAAGCCUGACGCAGCAACGCCGCGUGGGUGAUGAAGGUCUUCGG